rnacentral:rRNA from 1 species
GACGAACGCUGGCGGCGUGCUUAACACAUGCAAGUCGAACGGAAAGGCCCUGCUUUUGUGGGGUGCUCGAGUGGCGAACGGGUGAGUAACACGUGAGUAACCUGCCCCUGACUUUGGGAUAACUUCAGGAAACUGGGGCUAAUACCGGAUAGGAGCUCCUGCUGCAUGGUGGGGGUUGGAAAGUUUCGGCGGUUGGGGAUGGACUCGCGGCUUAUCAGCUUGGUGGUGGGGUAGUGGAAUACCAAGGCUUUGACCGGUAGCCGGCCUGGGCGGGUGAGCGGCCACAUUGGGACUGGGAUACGACACAGACUACUACGGGAGGCAGGAGUGGGGAAUAUUGCACAAGGGGCGGGAGCCAGAUGCGGCAACGCCGCGUGCGGGAUGACGGCCAGCGGGUUGUAUACCGAUUUCGCCUGUGACGAGGCGUGAGUGACGGUAAUGGGUAAAGAAGCACCGGCUAACUACGUG